GUUCCCUGGUCCAGGCAGCGCUGACUCAGCAGCCCUCGGUGUCAGCGAACCUGGGACAAACCGUCCAGAUCACCUGCUCCGGGCUUUACAGUGGCAGCAGCAAUGUUGCGUGGUUCCAGCAGAAGGUUCCUGGCACUGCCCCUGUCACUGUGAUCUAUGAGAGCACAAAGAGACCCUCAGGCAUCCCUUCGCGAUUCUCUGGAACCUCUUCUGGCACCACGGGCACGUUAACCAUCACUGGGGUCCAAGCCGAAGACGAGGCUGUCUAUUACUGUGGUGGCAGCGACGGCAGCAGUGAUUGUUCCCUGGUCCAGGCAGCGCUGACUCAGCCGCCCUCGGUGUCAGCGAACCUGGGACAAACCGUCCAGAUCACCUGCUCUGGGCUUAGCAGCAGCUACAGCGAUCGUGUUGCGUGGUUCCAGCAGAAGGUUCCUGGCACUGCCCCUGUCACGGUGAUCUAUAAUGGCAACAGCAGACCCUCAGACAUCCCUUUGCGAUUCUCUGGCUCCAAAUCCAGCACCACGAACGCUCUAAACCAUCACUGGGGUCCAAGCUGAGGACGAGGCUGUCUAUUACUGUGGUGCCAUCGACAGCAGUGGCAGCUACGGUGUCUGGGGACAAUGA